UACGGAGGGUGCAAGCGUUAUCCGGAUUCACUGGGUUUAAAGGGUGCGUAGGUGGGUUGGUAAGUCAGUGGUGAAAUCUCCGAGCUUAACUUGGAAACUGCCAUUGAUACUAUUAGUCUUGAAUACUGUGGAGGUCAGCGGAAUAUGUCAUGUAGCGGUGAAAUGCUUAGAGAUGACAUAGAACACCAAUUGCGAAGGCAGCUGGCUACACAUAUAUUGACACUGAGGCACGAAAGCGUGGGGAUCAAACAGG
rnacentral:rRNA from 1 species